GUGAUUCAAAUAAUUAAAUAAAAAAAUUAUUUAACAAUUUAUUAUAAUUAAUAAUAUAAUAGUAAAAAGAAAAUGAGUAAACAAAAUAUUUACAAUAUUCGUAUGUGAAAUAUGAAAUAAUGACUCAUACACAUUGCUUGUAUAUAAAUAAGUUAUACAAUUAUUAUAUUUAUAUAAUUAUACAUUUAUACAAUGCAAAUAUAUAUAUACAACAUAAUAUAUGUGUAGAAUGCAUAUAGGCGCAGCGGAGUGGGAUCGAAAAAAGAAGCGAUGAGACAGAUACAAAGAGGGUGAUUAAGAAAUGUAUUAUAUAUUAUUUGCUUGUAUAUAGAAAUGGAUAUAACAACAUCAUAGAUUUUUUUUUAUACAUUUUUGUUAAAAAAAUUCAAUCCUCAACUUAUUUUUCGAGUUAAAAAUCGCCGCAAAACCUAUAUCACAUCCCAUGUUGGGAUUUGAUAUAGGCUUUAUGUAAGAAACUUCGUUCCAAAAAAACAAUUUGUUUCGACACUAUAUCUUCUAUAUGAACAAUCACUACCGAAAUUAAACAAAAAAUGUUAAUUUGUUUAAUGUUUAUUUAAUUUUUUAUUUCAAUUCGUUUUUAAUUAUAUGUGAGAAAGUUCACGACUAUAAUGAUUUUUAGGUUACUUCAUAUUGCCAUGACAGCUUGAUACAUAUACACGUCAAAUUUAUAUAAAUACUUAUUCUUAUAAACAAAUAAUUAAUAACAAUCCCUCUCAAAAAAUUAUAUGAUAUGUUAUUAAAAAAUAUUGUUUGGAAAGGAGAAAAUUAAAAAUAACUAAACAAUUUUUUUUAACUCCUUUUAUAAUACAAAUAUAUUAAAAAAAUGUUACAGUGAAAUUUUCAGCUUAAUUUUUUAAUAAAUGAGUUCUAUAAUCAAGUUUAAAAGACCAGGAAAACAAGUUUAACUUGUAGCUGUCUCAAAUUUUGCAAAACUCUUUUAUAAUACAAUUAAAACAAAUUUAAAGAGUUUUAAGUAAAAUAAAUGUUUUAGACAUUUUUCAUGAAUUUUUAAAUGUGUAAUUAUCGUUCAAUUACUAAUAAGUAAUCAUCUCAGAAUUCAGAUGCCAUGGAACAAAUCUGAAUCCACAUUUAGAAUUUAUAUAAACAUUGAAAACCGUAUAAUUUUUUUUUAGUUUUCCUGUGUUUUUUAUCAAUAAAAUUCUAGAAAUAUUUAAUGUAUGUUACUAAUCCAAGAGAAAUAUUUGACUUAAUAUUUAUCUUUAUAUAACCCGAUUCGCCAUUUUUCACCACAAUGGAUCAAUUUUUCCUUGCAUAUUUCUUUUGUUUGAAAACCCCAAGCAGCUAAAGGUGCAUUUUUUCGUGUGCAUAUAUAUUCCACUAAAUAAUCAUCAAUUUGUUCAGUAGUUCUUGCACCUGCAGCUAGUAAAACUCUUAGUUCGUUAAAUUAAAAAGCAAUUGACGAUCUUAUUAUAUCUAAAAUCAUGAUAUAUUUUUCAUUUGUACAUCAAUUUAUACUUACAAGAAAACAAACACCUUUUUAUAGGCAUAUUUAUCUAUUUAUAAAUAGAUAAACAGGACAAAAUUGAAAUUUAAAAAACCCAGCACAGUGGUGCCGUGGUAUAGUUGGAUCAAGUAUAAUGAUAUCUGACAGUGAUUAAAAUCACUCUCAAAAAUAAACGCUUCGAUGCAAAUCUUAAGAUAGUGUUUAUUUUAAAAAAUUGGUGGAUUAUUCCAAAAGCUACAUGAUCUGCUAGUUCCUUAGUAAUAUCUUGAUUAAGAUAAAGUAUGUCGAAUUAAAAAAUUUUAUUUCUCAUAAAAAAAUUGUGUUGAUCCAUACACUUUUCAAUGUUAGAAUAUUAUAAAGUAAAAAAUGUAAAUUAUAAAAUCGAGAAUUUUCACACAAAAAUAGCAUUCGAUAGCCAUUUUCACCAUGAAGACAAGUCCAGAGGUCAAAUUUUUUUUUUUCAAAUUAAAGUAUAUUACAUUAGCUUUAAUUUAAGAUAUAUAUAAAAGUGUCAGACCUUCCGGAACACUUUCAAAAGUUAAGUUGAAAAAGUUCUACUUUCUAUAUGCAUUUUUUAUAUUUGAAGCCCCCCCAUAUAUAGGGAAAUAGUCUGAUUUAAAAAAAAAGUAUAUCCAAUGAAAGAUGUAUAUAAAUACUACUUCUCAUGAAAAAAUUGUAUUGAUCCAUACAUUUUUUAAAAAGUUAUAGCACUUUAAAGUAAAAAAUGUAAAUUAUAAAAUCGAAAAUUUUCACACAAAAAUAGCAUUCGGUAGCCUUUUUCACCAUGAAGACAAGUCCAGAGGUCAAAUUUUUUUUUUUCAAAUUAAAGUACAUUAUAAUAGCUUUAAUUUAUGAUAUAUAUAAAAGUGUCAGACCUUCUAGAACAUUUUCAAAAGUUAAGUUGAAAAAGUUAAUUUUUUGUGAAAAAGUUGUCAUUUUAAAUCCCCCCUGUGGGCUGGUAUAUGGUUAAAUUUAUGAAAAAGAUAUACCAAAUGAUAGGUAAAGACAUCAAGCAUCUAUGAAAAAAAAAAAUUAUAUUCAUAUGUUCAUUUUUAAAAAAGUUACGGCAGUUUUUAGUAAAAAAAGUUGAAAAAAUAUCGAAAAUUAGCGAUUUUUAAAUUUGUAAUUUUUUGGGAGGUUUCCCCCAUCUACGGGGAACGAGGGAAAUUUUUUCAAUUUUUGAGGGUAAUGUCUUCGACUAGAUACGAUUUGUGAUCUUUUGACGUAUCGUUGAAAGAAAUCCGUUCGAAGAGAGCUGAGAAAAAGUGGUAACAGACAAAAAAAAAAAAAAAAAUAAACACAUCAUAGUAAAACCAAUACCUUUUCA